CCUAAAAAUAUUUCUCAAACAGAGGCCCAUCAGAGGCGAAGCUCCGCAUUGUCGUAGGUGGCAGAGCGGUCCAAACCUCAAAUUGCAAACACCUUCAGACUCCUCUUUGCGCCCUCUUUGUAAACCAACCAUUCAUUUUCAUCGAUGAUAGAUAUCAACGGUGUAAAUUUUUUACAUUUUCAGUCCAUAGUAAUUAAUCCCGAACUCGAAUAGAAUAAAAAGAUUCAGAACCCUAAAACAUGAAAAACUUAAUUAAAUCAUUACCACGACUCGGUUUGAUCCCUAACCUUGGGGUUAACGCUUAUCUGCAUCUACUCUAUAGUCCGGUAACAAGAAAUGGGGAGUUCCAAAGAGGUGCACCAACCUUUGGAAUGGUAAAUUGCUUCGGCCAAGCUCGGGAAUCUCGAAGAUGAAGAUGCCAAAAAUCCCGAAGAUCAGGGACUUGGCCUAUUUUCUUCCUAAAAUGCAGGUUGAGAUGCUUGAUGCAGUUUGGUUGUGGGAUGGUGCAGCCUUAUGGUGUGAUGGAUGAAAGAAAACAAGUCUAUUUGGCUAGUUGUGAACUUUAUGUACAGGAAGUUGAAUGAAAUUGAAAUGAAUGUAAAAUCAGGAGUUAGGAUUUGGAAAUUGAAUUUUUUAGAAGUUAGGAUUUGUAAAUUACAUUGAUAUAUAAAUUUUGAACAAAUUAUAUAUUAUAGAAAAUUGAAUGUAAAAUAUUGGGUUGUAAUUGAAAUUGCGGAUGUUAGGAUUAUGUACAUUCAAGUUAUAAAAUGGAAUUUGAAUGGAAUGUCGUUGGAUUUGAUUUUGUA